rnacentral:misc_RNA from 1 species
GAUGAAGAACGUAGCGAAAUGCGAUAAGUAAUGUGAAUUGCAGAAUUCCGUGAAUCAUCGAAUCUUUGAACGCAUAUUGCGCCCUCUGGUAUUCCGAGGGGCAUGCCUGUUCGAGCGUCAUUAUAACCCCUCAAGCUCAGCUUGGUGUUGGGGCCUGCUGCACUGGCAGCCCUUAAAAUCAGUGGCGGCGCCAUCUGGCUCUAAGCGUAGUAAUUCUUCUCGCUAUGGAGUCCUGGUGGAUGCUUGCCAUCAACCCCCAAUUUUUCUAUGGUUGACCUCGGAUCAGGUAGGGAUACCCGCUGAACUUAAGCAUAUCAAUAAGCGGAGGA